UACGUAGGGUGCGAGCGUUGUCCGGAAUUACUGGGCGUAAAGAGCUCGUAGGCGGUUGGGUAAGUCGGGUGUGAAAACUCGAGGCUCAACUUCGAGCUGUCGGUGGAAACUUUCUGGCUAGAGUCCGGAAGAGGAGAAUGGAAUUCCUGGUGUAGCGGUGAAAUGCGCAGAUAUCAGGAAGAACACCCGUGGCGAAGGCGGUUCUCUGGGACGGUACUGACGCUGAGACGCGAAAGCGUGGGGAGCGAACAGG
rnacentral:rRNA from 1 species